rnacentral:rRNA from 1 species
UAGGGAAUCUUCGGCAAUGGACGAAAGUCUGACCGAGCAACGCCGCGUGAGUGAAGAAGGUUUUCGGAUCGUAAAACUCUGUUGUUAGAGAAGAACAAGGACGUUAGUAACUGAACGUCCCCUGACGGUAUCUAACCAGAAAGCCACGGCUAACUACGUGCCAGCAGCCGCGGUAAUACGUAGGUGGCAAGCGUUGUCCGGAUUUAUUGGGCGUAAAGCGAGCGCAGGCGGUUUCUUAAGUCUGAUGUGAAAGCCCCCGGCUCAACCGGGGAGGGUCAUUGGAAACUGGGAGACUUGAGUGAAGAAGAGGAGAGUGGAAUUCCAUGUGUAGCGGUGAAAUGCGUAGAUAUAUGGAGGAACACCAGUGGCGAAGGCGGCUCUCUCGUCUGUAACUGACGGUGAGGCUAGAAAGCGUGGGGAGCAAACAGG